UGGGGAAUAUUGCACAAUGGGCGCAAGCCUGAUGCAGCCAUGCCGCGUGUGUGAAGAAGGCCUUCGGGUUGUAAAGCACUUUCAGCGGGGAGGAAGGCGUUAAGGUUAAUAACCUUGGCGAUUGACGUUACCAGCAGAAGAAGCACCGGCUAACUCCGUGCCAGCAGCAGCGGUAAUACGGAGGGUGCAAGCGUUAAUCGGAAUUACUGGGCGUAAUGCGCACGCAGGUCGUCUGUCAAGUCGGAUGUGAAAUCCCCGGGCUCGAACUGGGAAUAGCAUUCGAAACUGGCAGUCUAGAGUCUUGGAGAGGGGGGUAGAAUUCCAGGUGUAACGGUGAAAUGCGUAGAGAUCUGGAGGAAUACCGGGGACGAAAGCGGCCCCCUGGACAAAGACUGACGCUCAGUUGCGAAAGCGGGGGGAGCAAACAGG
rnacentral:rRNA from 1 species